rnacentral:rRNA from 1 species
AAAUAAAUACUACGAAAGCAAAAAAUUAUGGCGGUAUUUUAAGCUUUUCAGAGGAAUUUGCUCUUUAAUGGAUAAAACACCUAAAUCUUACUUAAAUUUGUUAAAACAAUUUUGUAUACCACUAUAGAAAUUAAUUAUUYAUUUUAAUUAAUAAAAAGUAUUAAGAUUUAAAAAAAGUUAAGUCAAGGUGCAGUAAAAAUUUAAGAAUGAAGUGAAUUACAAGUCUUUUAAGAGAUUAAAAUUUAAAAUUAAUUUUAGGAUUUGAAAGUAAAGUUAAAAUAGAAUGUUAAUUUGAAUAAAGCUCUAAAAUAUGUACAUA